rnacentral:rRNA from 1 species
GUCCACGCCGUAAACGAUGAUAACUAGCUGUCCGGGUUCAUGGAAUUUGGGUGGCGCAGCUAACGCAUUAAGUUAUCCGCCUGGGGAGUACGGUCGCAAGAUUAAAACUCAAAGGAAUUGACGGGGGCCUGCACAAGCGGUGGAGCAUGUGGUUUAAUUCGAAGCAACGCGCAGAACCUUACCAGCGUUUGACAUCCCGCGCUACAACCAGAGAUGGUUGGUUCCCUUCGGGGACGCGGUGACAGGUGCUGCAUGGCUGUCGU